UUAAUAAUAAAGAACCAAAUAUUUACGGCAUUUAAAUAACAUGCGAUUUAAAAACCAAAUUUUUCAGAAAAGGUAGUUUUUGCAAAGGAACCAGGCGUUUGGUUCCCUUUUUAUUAUCGCAUUAUAAUAAUAAUAGUAGUGAACCAUCCGUAAAAUAUCCAAGUUUUCAAAUUUUUUUUACAAAUAUAGCUUUAUUUGACUAUAGAUAGUUUACAUUAUAUACGCAGACACUCUACUUUUAGGAAAAUACCAUCAUAAUUGUUUAUAACUUUUUUAUGUGCAAUAAACUUAUUUCGUUAAAAAUCUCGACUUUAAAAUUUGGCGCUUGGUUCUUUGUACGUUAACACUAUCCAAAUAUCACUGUCAAAAAUCAAGUGAAAUCGAACUGAAAGUAUAACUCGAAAAAUUCAUGGUAAGUUUUUGUUCAAUUUUCCUUUUUUCGGGUUACAUAAUUUUAAUUAUUAUUUAGGUCCGAUGAUGCUCUAAUCGAGCGAAACAUGUAACCUUUGUCAUUUUAUGAAGUGUAUUUGUGAUGCUGUAGAUUUUGUGUUUUUACCUUUUAUAAAAGAACUGAAAGUAUUCCUUCAGAGUAUAAAAUGCACAGGAUAAUAAUAGCUAUUUAUGUAUCAAGGGCAUUGUAAGGACGAUAAUGCCUGGAAGGUGGAAAUAGUAGAUUUAGGCCUGAUGAGCAUUAGAGUCUAACAAUGCCCGUGGUGCAUACAAUGCUUUAUGUUUUACCUAAAAAUUGAUAAUUAUGAACAAAAAUAAUUUUAAUAUUAAUUAAAAAAUAGGGUCUACCUGUACAGGUAGGUAGGUAUACGUACAUACCUACCUACAGAAAUUUAUUAAGUGACUUGCAGUGAUUAUUUAAGUUUGACUUUGAUGUUUCUGUCACUUAGUCAGUUGGCAUUUUUUGUUUAAAUAUUUGCUUAAAAUGGAAAAAAUUCCACAAAAUAUAAAAGGCCAUAAAAGCGACCGAAAAUCUUUUGCCAGUUAAAUCAAGGCAACAGUAUGAUCGGGAGUAUGGCAUAUUUGGUAUUUGGAAAGAUGCCAACGCAAUUGUUCAAAUAACCGAAACCGUUCUAAUGGCAUAUUUUCAGGAACUGUCGGAAAAAUACAGUCCGAACUCUCUCUGGACCAAGUAUUCUACCCUAAGGUCCUCGUUAAUGGUCUAUAAAAAUAUAGACAUCUCGCAAUACCAUCGUCUCAUAUCUUUUUUAAAAGUUAAGUCGAAAGGAUAUGUCCCGAAGAAGUCUAAAGUUUUGGAAGGAGAACAAAUAAUACAAUUUAUUAAGAAGGCUCCUGAUGAUAUCUACUUGGUACACAAAGUCAUAUUGGUAAUGGGUGUUUUUGGAGGUUUAAGACGAGAUGAGUUGGUCAAAAUGACCAUUGAUGAUAUUGAAGAUAGAGGAACGGUCUUGGUUAUAAAGGUACCAGAAACUAAAACUUCAACUUCAAAAAGUUUUACUAUCAUUGAAGAAGAUUUAGGCGCUUUAAAUUUAAUAAAAAACUUUAUUUCCAAAAUAAAAAUUACAAUUUUGAAAUGUCCCGGAAAAUGUAGCUGAUCCCACUAUAGAAUGGUCGGUGUUUUUUGUGAUGGUAGAGGUGGCAGCACUAACGCUAUUUUGUAUAGUUUGUAAAUUGUCCAUUAAAAUUAUUUUUGUAUAAAA